AUUGAUCGCUGGCGGCAUGCUUUACACAUGCAAGUCGAACGGUAACAGGCCGCAAGGUGCUGACGAGUGGCGAACGGGUGAGUAAUGCAUCGGAGCGUGCCCAGUCGUGGGGGAUAACGGAGCGAAAGCUGUGCUAAUACCGCAUACGAUCUAUGGAUGAAAGCGGGGGACCGUAAGGCCUCGCGCGAUUGGAGCGGCCGAUGUCAGAUUAGGUAGUUGGUGGGGUAAAGGCUCACCAAGCCAACGAUCUGUAGCUGGUCUGAGAGGACGACCAGCCACGCUGGGACUGAGACACGGCCCAGACUCCUACGGGAGGCAGCAGUGGGGAAUUUUGGACAAUGGGAGCAAGCCUGAUCCAGCAAUGCCGCGUGCAGGAAGAAGGCCUUCGGGUUGUAAACUGCUUUUGUACGGAACGAAAAGGUUUGGGUUAAUACCCUGGGCCGAUGACGGUACCGUAAGAAUAAGCACCGGCUAACUACUUGCCAGCAGCCGCAGUAA
rnacentral:rRNA from 1 species